UUGGGAAUCUUGGACAAUGGGCGAAAGCCUGAUCCAGCCAUGCCGCGUGAGUGAUGAAGGCCUUAGGGUUGUAAAGCUCUUUUGCCAGGGAAGAUAAUGACUGUACCUGGAGAAUAAGCCCCGGCUAACUUCGUGCCAGCAGCCGCGGUAAUACGAAGGGGGCUAGCGUUGUUCGGAAUUACUGGGCGUAAAGCGUGCGCAGGCGGUUUCUCAAGUCAGGGGUGAAAGCCCGGAGCUCAACUCCGGAAUUGCCUUUGAAACUGUGAAGCUAGAGUGCGGGAGAGGUGAGUGGAAUUCCCAGUGUAGAGGUGAAAUUCGUAGAUAUUGGGAAGAACACCGGUGGCGAAGGCGGCUCACUGGCCCGUUUCUGACGCUCAUGCACGACAGCGUGGGGAUCAAACAGGAUUAGAUACCCCCGUAGUCC
rnacentral:rRNA from 1 species